AAAAUUCUAGCAGGAGAGACACCAUGAUCUAGAAGGUAGUUUUCCCAGGACAAGGCUCAUCCAUUCUAUUUGGAAUAUGUUGACCUCUGCCGUCUCCCCAAAAAAUGGGGAACUUGACUGCAUUAUAUGUGAUGAGAAAUUGAGCUUCAGA
ensembl:snRNA U1 U1 spliceosomal RNA